rnacentral:rRNA from 1 species
UACGGGGGGGGUAAGCGUUGUUCGGAAUUACUGGGCGUAAAGGGCUCGUAGGCGGCCAACUAAGUCAUACGUGAAAUCCCUCAGCUUAACUGGGGAACUGCGUGUGAUACUGGAUGGCUUGGAUUUGGGAGAGGGAUGCGGAAUUCCAGGUGUAGCGGUGAAAUGCGUAGAUAUCUGGAGGAACACCGGUGGCGAAGGCGGCUCACUGGACCGGAACUGACGCUGAGGCGCGAAAGCGUGGGGAGCAAACAGG